ensembl:snoRNA
AUCCUUUUGUAUUCAUUUAUGUAUGAUGAUUGGGUUUUUACCAUCACAUGUGGUGAGAUGUGUCUCCCUCAAGCUUGUUAUCACGUCAGCAUGUGAUCAGUCUGAUC